UACAGCCUACCCUCAUGACCUCAUCUUAACUUGAUUAAAUGGACAAAGACACUAGUUCCAAAUAAGGUCAUAUUCACAGGCACAGGGGGUUAGGAUUUUCAAUAGAUGUGUUUGGGGACACAAUUCAACCCAAACUAGAUGCUAUCAGAAAAAUGAAGGAGGAAAAUUCAUUAUGACAUGUGUGUAGGUGGGGAAUAGGGAUCAGAUGCAUUUAAGUAGAGUAGCCAAAAUAAGUCUCAAUGAAAGGAAGUAUUUGCAUAAAGAUCUGAAGACAAGGGAGCCAGCCUGUGGAUGGUCGCACAAGAGCAUAUGCAAAGACUCUGUGGAAUAUACCAGACGUGUUCAAAGAAAAGCAAGGAGGCCAGCAUGGCUGGUGCAGAUGAACAAGGGGUAAAGUGGUAGGAGAUGAGUUCUGAGAAGUUAUAAAGGAGCCAGAUCAUAUGCAGACUUUGGGUUUUAUUCCAAGUAAUGUCGGAUACCCUUGGAAGAUUUUGAUCAGAAGAUAACAUGAUCUGGCUUCUAUCUUAACAGGACCUUUCCGGCCACUGUUAAAAAUAUAUAGUGGAAGAGAAUGGAAGCAGGGAUUCAGCUUAUAAGGCUUUUGAAAUAAUUCUGGUGAGAGAUGAUGAUGGAUUGGCAGUGGAGAUGAUCAUCAACCUAGAAGAGAAACCGUGAAAGGAUGGAGGGAAAUCUGGGCACUGUUUGGGCUCUGUGUUCAGAGACAAGGUACUUCCUACAGUUGGGCUGCAGCAGUUUUUAGAAGAUGACUAGAGCUCUAACAAGAACACCGAGCUUUGUCAAAGACACCGUCUGGAAGAGAACAUUCUCGCUUUCAUGAAGAGCUCUGUUUCAGCACAAGAUUACAUAUACAUGUUAAAAGGUUCUAUCAGCUAGCCUGGGCAGGCAGAGUUUCUCUUGCUGUACUAAACUUACCUCUCGCGGUGCCAGCCUCACUAAC